GGUUAGAAGCCCACUAGAUUCGAGAACACAGUUAAGGUUAGAAGCCCACUAGAUUUGAGAACACAGUUAAGGUUAGAAGCCCACUAGAUUCUAGAACACAGUUAAGGUUAGAAGCCCACUAGAUUCUAGAACACAGUUAAGGUUAGAAGCCCACUAGAUUCUAGAACACAGUUAAGGUUAGAAGCCCACUAGAUUCUAGAACACAGUUAAGGUUAGAAGCCCACUAGAUUCUAGAACACAGUUAAGGUUAGAAGCCCACUAGAUUCUAGAACACAGUUAAGGUUAGAAGCCCACUACAUUCUAGAACACAGUUAAGGUUAGAAGCCCACUAGAUUCGAGAACAAAAGGGGCAAGGUGAGAGACACGCAUCUCAUUUAAAAGCUCUACCUCAUAUCAAUAACACGUCUGUCCGGAGAUGCUGAUGUUCUUCCUUAUUUGGUAAAGAAUGGAGAAUAUGUACCCUGUUUAUCAGUCAAGCAGGGGUAAACAGGACUGGUAAUGCGGAGGGAGAUAUUAUUUCACAAAGCUGUGACAGCUGAGUAAAUAAUACAACAACGACAUUCAAGAAGACAAAUAAGAAUUCAUUUCAAAGGGCUUUUGUCAAAUGACUGAAAUGGA